AGGAGUUAGUGCUGUGAGGAGAUGCCCAUGAAAAAUCAUCGGGAAGAACCGUGAUACAUGGCACUUGCUUCUGUUUGCUGUCCCUGCUAUCUUUGAGUAAGAGAUGCUUGGAUUAGGGUGUGUUCUGUGGAUAUCAUCAUUGCUUUCAGAAAUGGGGGAACGGAAGAGGAGCCUAGUCCUGAGCAGAAAUCCAGGUGCUUUUGCAUGGGGCAGGUGACAUGGAGCCAAGAGGAAGAGAAAGAGAGGGCUGUGUCAUGGGACAGAGGAGAAAGGUUGUCAACUCCUCACUUAAACUAAAUCACAAAAGACAGAUCAAAAGGGUACAGACUGAACAUAAUCAGUUCUUACAGAUCUACAAAGGCAUGUAAGCUUCUGGGGAAAAGGGUCUCUUGAAUUAUUACUUUAAAUAUCAAUCAGCAGUAUAUUCAGAACCUGUGAUCAAAGUCAGUCCCCAAGGUUUGGUAAGCAUCUGUCUGACACAUCAUCCAAAGUGUUUUAAUUACAAAUCAGGAAUCUUGUUCCUCCUGAGGGAUAACUGGGGAGACUAGAUGCAGGUUGCAUGUAGAAAUAAAUCUGAAAAGUCAACAGGGACCCUUGCAAAUCAGUAAUGGGAUCCUGAUCCUUGGCUUCAGGACGAAAGGCUGGUGAAAACUCAGGUCCCAACACCCUUCAGGUUGUGCUCAGACUUCAGGGCUCCCCCAUUCCUUCCCUCCUGGGAGAGGGUGCCUCAGCAGGGCUGGGGUG